rnacentral:lncRNA from 1 species
AGCUGGCAGGCAGUACCAGGGUGAGGGAAGUUCUCCAAAGCAAUCAAAGCAGAGAGAGCCAGAGGGCUGAUAUAAACCACAUCCAAGAGAGAGCAACUGCCAAGACCAAAAUAAGAAAAGUCAGACUAGAUGUCAAAUUGAAUGGGGGCACAAGGUAGCAUGGAGGAGAGAAGCCCAAAUGUCCAGGAGUCAAUGAAAUGUAGAAGUGAAAUCAAGGUCAAAAGCAAAUGUACUCUAUCGUCUUCCACACUGGGACCCCAGACACUCAUGGAGGAGGAAAUUCUUGACCAAAAAUAUGUGUUACAGAACCUGAGAGAGAAGAAAAGUUUCAGGAAGACGAUGACAGUCAAUAAGAUGAAAUGAUGAAGUAAAUGUAAACAUGAUACAGACUGAGGCCAUUGGCUCUGAAUAUCGAGACAUCACUGGAAUGUUUUGAGAAAUUAACUUUGAUUGCGAAGAGAUUAAGAAUUAGAAUGCAGUAGGAAAAUGAAUUAACAUCUGAUAAGAAAAGAAACCAAAGAGUAAAGACCUGUAGUUCUGCAACACAGGUGCUCAUCAGAAAAAUGUGGGUAACUUUUUCAAUAAUAAACCCCUGGACCCACCCCCUGGAAAAUCUGCUUAAGUAUAUCUGGGGCAGAAAUGGGAAAUUUACGUUUUUCUUCAACAUUUCAGAUGGUUCUGUUGGCUCUUUAAAAAUUAUGGCCUACGGGUAACAGGAUGAAGAAAUAAUUAUUUGCCAACUACGGUAUAGACAGUAUAGAAUGUUUUCAACAGAGGGAAAGGAGCAGUGAGUAAUGAGGAAGAAAAUAAGAAAGAAAUAGGUGGGAAGUGGUGGUCGAGAGCCGAAGUUCUCAGGCAGGGGUCCCCAACCCCUGCUGUCCUGUGUUGUCUGGUACCAGUCCCUGGUCUGUUAGGAACCAAGCCGCACAGCAGGAAGUGAGCUGCGGGCUAGUGAGCAUUACUGCCUGAGCUCUGCCUCCUGUCAGAUCAGCAGCGGCAUCAGAUUCUCACAGGAGCAUGAACCCUAUUGUGAACUGUGCAUGCAGUUCCUUAUGAGAAUUCCGUGGUCCUUAUGAGAAUCUAACUAAUGCCUGAUGAUCUGAGGUGGAACAGUUUCAUCCUGAGAUCAUCCUCCCUCCCCUGUCUGUUGAAAAACUGUCUUCCACGAAACCAGCCCGUGGUGCCAAAAGGGUUGGGGACUGCUAUUUUAGAAGACAUGAAAGCGUGCUAUCUAAAGUAUAGGUGGAAGAAAUAGCAUUUGGAAAGGAUAGUGGAGAUGUCUUCCUUUGAAAACAUGUAAUAAGGACCUUGAGGAUAAAGGUUCCACCAUGUUUUGAGGCAAAAAUCUGGUAGAUGGCUUGGAUCUCAUAAGCAGAUUAAGUGAUGAUCUACCAAGGAAAAUAGUGGUUCAGCUGGAGUCUGGAGGAAUGUGGCGUGGUUCCUCAGAAUGCCCCACUGGAGCCACUCCAGCCAGUAUGAGAUGAAUGAUUGUGCAUUAGAUGGGCUUUAAAUGUUGAAUGUAGAUUUUAAAAGAGUAAAACAGAAAAGAUUCACAGGUGACUCAAAGUCUAAUAAUAGCCCUAACUUAUAGUUUAACACAUCUUUAUAAACGACUUCUUGUAGGCUCUUCUUGUUUUGCUCUUCUAUGUAUCCUUCCACCAACAUUUGCACUGAAGGUUUCCUCUGCCUGAAGCAUUCUGCUCCCACCCCCGACUUUAGUUAGGUUCUUGCCAAAUCACCUUGUCACAGAAAUCUUCCUUGACCACCUAUAUUAAAUAGGACUAACUCUUCUAUCUUUCUUAGUCUGCUUUUUGUAUACAGGCUUAUACCCGAUAUAUUAUACAUUUAUUUUUUAUUGCGUUUCCCCAUCCUAACUAAAAUGUAAGCUGCAAGGAAGCCAAAGCUGAUUUGUUUUGUUCUUUGCAAAAACCUCAAUGCAUGUAGGAGCACCCAGCACAUAGUAGAUGCUCAAAGUAUAUUUGUUAGAUAAAUUUAAAAAUAGUUGCUACUACUGCCAGAGCCUAGCCCAGACACUUCUGCGUAAUUAGCCCUCAGCAAAAGUUGAUCAAUGUUUUGAUGAAUUAAAUGAAUGAUUGUGGCAGCCAGCUGUCAAGAUGACCUCCAGUGUAAACCCUUGUGUAGCCCCCUCCAACAAUAAAUAGGGCUGAUUUGAGCAACCAAUAGAAUAUUGUGGAAAUGAUGACAUGUGACUUUUGAGACAAGGACAUAAAAGACACUGGGGCUUCCACCUCAGUUUCUUCAUCAUUUGAUCUAACCUCUGGGAGAAGUGAGUUGCCGUAUAUUGAAGAUUCUCAGUCUUAGGGAAAGGUCUGUAGAGUGAGGACCAUAAAUCUGUCAACAGCCAGCACCAGCAUGCCAGCCCUGUGAGUGAACCAAUUUAGAAGUGGAUUAUCGAGCUCUAGUCAAACCCCUAGAUAACCACAGCCCUGGCCAACAUCUUGACUGCAAGAUCUAGUUAUUCCCUGAGACGGAAUAACUAGCUAUGCAGUUCCCAAAGUUCUAAGCCACAUAACUGUAUGAGAUAACAUUUAUCAUUGCUUAAGCCAGUAAGUUUUGGGAUAGUUUGCUAUAUAGCAAUGGACAAUUAAUAACAGUAGCUUAGAGCCAGUUUUCAAAAUUUUGUCCCUUCUGUUUGAUGUCAGGGACAGAUCUAUCGUUUAUGAAAUGUAUAGUUUUCCCUAAAACCAAAUAAAACCAGCAGGCUGAUUUUGGGAACAACGAUUUCAAUAGAUCUUGAAGUGUUUUCUAUGCCUUAUCACUGACAAGAUUGCUGGCCACAUGAAAACCUAGCAUGCAUUUAUAACAUGAAUUCUUCACACAGUGAUCAUUUAAAGAUCCUUAAUAUCCAGAUUCUAUUAAUAAUCCAACCCACAAUCCUAGGAGUCUUAAUCAAAGGAUUACCAAAGUUCCAUUACUUCCUGCAUUUAGCUUACUUAUUUAUUUAUUUGAUCAUUUUCUUUGCCAAAGGGAAAGAGAAAAACAAUAACAAACAAACACCUUGUUUUACAAUUUACUCUUCCUUUUAUGGAUGACUAUGCUCAUUUUCUCCACAGAUAAGAAUAUGUGUGUUUCUUUGUGUGUGAAAAGAAGCCGCCUUGAAGGAUCUAUUUAAAAUUUGACUCAGUGAUUAGUUACUGUUAGGCAAUGUGGGCAGACCUCUAAGUGAAGUCCUGGCAAGUGUGACUCUGGAAAGCUAAGGAAAUGGAGAAUAUAGUUAAAAUUCUGACACUUGGAACCUCAUCUGAGAGUCAUAUGUUUUUGUCAUGAGGUGGGAGGAAUUACUGGGUGAGUGACACGUGGAAGGGAUAAGCAGGAGGCAUGAAUUCUUAAGGGCACUUGUGAAUAAUAUUAUUAUGUCUGAAAGAACCACAAGGGAGCUGAAAAUUAUAGAAUCACAAAUUUAUAAAUAAUGAGAUUAAAGGGAACUUCUUGGAUUAUAACUCAAUUUUCUGUUUCUUCAGAGGAAAGAGUCACAUGAUGAUCGACUGUUUUGAGCAAUUAGAAAAGGAAUAUCCUGCCUUUCCUUUCUAGGGCCACCUACUUCCUAGUCACAAGAAACUGAAAACAAGUAAAAAAAAGAAAAAUACUAUACUGUUUUACACUGAUUUGAGCAAAGGCAGAGAUGAGACAGUGUGAAGUGAUGCAAAGAUGAGGAGAGGAAGUACAGCAAUGUGACUGCAUUUCAGCUGCUGUGUGCCUGGGAGAGGCAGAUGACACAGCAGGCACAGGGCAGUGCAAGAAAGCUAGAGAGGGGAAGAAGGGCCAGUUGAGGCUGAUUCUGGAUGAGUGGCCAAGGAGUUGCCUUUUCUUUCUAUGUGCAAUUGAGUCAUUAGAAAUUUCAAAGCAAUUUUUAAACUGUAAUUGCUAAACUGACUUCAAUUGACACAGAUAACAUCUGUUUGCUAAAGUGUUAAAAUAGAGACUGUACUGAGGGUUGAACCUACCAGUUCCCUUAGGCUCACUCUUCAAAUUUUGUUUUGUAGAUAAGCUAAGAUUUAUAUAUCUAGCCCAGAGGGGGUCAGAGCUUUUCCUUUGAUAAAAGAAAGUUGGAAAUAGAGUCACAUGUUUCUCAAAGGGGGUUUUCUGAUUUUAAACACAGUACAAUCCCAAGUGGCCAGUCACAGAAAAUAGUAUCUAGUCUACCUGAAUUACAGAUCAGGUGAAAAGCAGGUGAGAAAAAGUCCCUGUUCUGUUAAAAAAAAAAAAAAAGCCAACUUGGCCUUUGCAUCUUGCAGCACCAAUGUAUGUAGACCAUGGCCAUAAUGAAGACGGAGAGCUGGACAAUUGCUUUAAGAUGCCAGGGUUACCCAUCAGGGUGGAUAAGCAAAGACAAGGUCUUCUUUUGUAAAAGAAGAGGAGAAGAUUGAGGAGGGGAGAGGAAGGGAGGAAGGAAAAGGAAAGAAGGAAGGAAAAUUAGUAAACCAGAGUGAAGUCAACCUAGCAAUUACAGUUUAAAAUUAUUUCCAACCUUGUUUCCAGUACUUCUUCAAGUUUGCAUAGUUCCAUUGCAUAGUAGCCUGACCUUGGGCUGGUCAUCACAGUUUAUAAAGUAGAAGACUCUGUCAACUGAAAAACACACUGUUAUUUUAUGUGACACUAUGAAAGAACAACAAAAAAAUGCUGCCAAUUAAACUAUGACACUGUAUUGAUGGUAAAGUACAUCUCUAUAUCAGAGAUGUCAAAAUGUAGAAAAAAUAUGAAUCUUAAAAUUAGUAAAAGCCUCAGUUUCCUUUUCUGUAAAAUAGAGAUGACAAUAGUACUGCAUAAAAUUCUUUGCCCCCGCCCCCAGAUCAAUUUCCAACCUCUCCACCUGGUUCUGUGCCCUUGGAUGCUGACCUCUAAUGCAGUAUUUCCGCUGGAUUCCUGGUUGGGCUUAGUUGAUGGGGCUGUGACCAUAAAUUAAUGGAUAUGAGGUGAAAGAGUUUGAGGGUUUGUAUUUCCCUUCAUUGCUGUGGGGAUGAGUGAGAUAGUAGCUGUGAUCCUCUCCACAAGGCCACACUUCAACUUGGUGGCUUCUCUCCUAUGGCUUGGGUUUGCUUCAGGUUUCAUUUCAUUCAUCAUUCAGGUCUGCCCCUUCAGACCUAGGGUUGGGGAAGAGGUGGGCAGUGGAUCGGCUUCCCGUGUUGCUGAUUCCUGGAUGCUUCACCAUCUCUUCUUGGUGAGGUUAACUUUCCCCAUAACUUUGUAACUAGGUUUUCAUUAAGUUUUGUUUCUUGCUGGAAGCUUGACUGAUACAAGCACCAACUUCACAUGAUUGCUGUGAAUAUUAAAUGAAGUAAUGAAUGCAAGGAACUUAGCUUAGUAUGCAGCAUGGGGGAAGCACUCUAGAUAAUCAGGUUUUCUGUUUUUCAAACACGUUAAACUCACUCCUCUCUUUGGGCAGUUGUACUAGCUGUUCGCUCCUUCAAUAUUCUUGUCUCAGGUCUUCGUAGGGCCGGUGCUUUCUUGUCAUUUAGAUUUCAGCUCACAUGUCAUUACUCAGAGGACACUAUCCUAUCCACCUUAUCUGUUAAUCUAAAUUAAUUCCCCAGGCAUCCCCUAUCUCAUUGCCUCUCAUUUCCUUAAUAGACAUUUUUUCUUCAUGAUAUUUCUUGGUUACAUAUUUGCUUAUACCCUAGCUCUCUUGAAUAGAAUUUAAGUGUGAUACAUUGCUUUUUUGUUCCUUUGCCCCUGAUGAAUCCUGUGUCCAGAAUGUAGCUAGCAUGUAGUAGGGUUGCAGGACAAGUUACCUGGGAGCAUAUAUUCUGAGGUAGAAUGAGUGCAAAAGCCUUAUUGGGAAGUAACACCUAAAUUUGUGAAAGAAGGGAGGAAGCAUUAUGGAUAGGGAGGGCCAUCAGACCCUUUUCUGACAUCAUAAGAUUUUAGCAGCCUAGCAAGGAACUCUUGUUCGAAGGUUUCUCAUUAGAGGAGUCCCACAUUGCCAAUACAUUGUCUCGCUACUUUAUUCAGUCAUAGGCUGAAGGUCGUCCCCAGAAAAGCAUGACCUCAGCUGUCAUCACCUUGCUCACUCAUUGUCUGGGGCACUCCAAAAAUAGCAUGACUUUAGCUACAAAGCUGAGGAAGACCCUGAUAAAGUUGACAUCUAAAGACAGCGAGCUAAACAGGCUCUUUGCAGCUGGGUUCUGAGUUCUUUCUCAAUGGGGAGGCCUAAAUAACACAUCUCUGUGUCUGCCAAUAAAUAUUUUUUGUGGAAUGGAACGCUCAAUAUGUUUGUUUUAAAAUUUUUUGUCUUAACUUUAUCAUCAUACCUAAAUGAAUCAAAUCAAGAACAGAAGGAUGUGCAAGCCUCUAAUCUAACUGUUCAGCUAGAUAACAGCUAAGUUAAUACACAUACCACAAGGAAAGAACAUACUUGGCACUUUUGAAAUACUAAAAUAUAGCCAGUGGGGCUGGAGAAUAAGAAACUAAGGGGAGAAUAGAAAGAGAUGUCAGAGAAGUAGACACUGUGAGAUUUUAAAUAAGGAUAUUACAUAAUCUGAUUCACAUUUUAAGAAAAUCACUUGGACUGCUUUAUGGAGAAUAGGUAAUAGACGGACAAGAGCAAAAGUAGGGAGACCAGACCAGUUAGCAAGCUAAGGUGAACAUCCAGGCAAGAGCUAAGAAUGGCUAGGACUAUGGUAUUAUGGCAGAGAUGGAGAAGCAGACAAAGUUGGGAUAUAUUUUGGAGGUAGAGUUUUAGGACUUCUAAGAUAUUAGAGCUGAGAGAGGAGGGGAGGAGACUCAAGGACAAUGUCUUGAUGUUUGGUAGGUGGUUGUGUCAUUUUCUAGGAUAAGGAAGAGUAAUUAAGGAACAACUUUGGAAAGGAAAGAUCUGCUUUGGACUUGUAACUUUUGAAAUGUCAUAAUUAGGCAUCCAAGUGAAUAUGUGAAAUAAGCAAUUGGCUCUAUGAAUCUAUAGCUCAAUGGAGAUAUCAAGAGCUGGAGAUAAAAUCAUAUGCAAUUGGCAUGAAGAUGGUAGUUAAAGCCAAGGGACUUUCCUGGAAUUCAUGCAUCUAAAUGAAUGAAUGGGAUUUCCUUCAGGGUGCUGACUCUCCUGGGGAAGCUUCAUGAUAUAUACAUUUUUCUAAUGAUGUUGAUCCAUUGGCAUAAUUUUAUUGGGCCUCAGAUUCUAAGUAAAAAAAGAAAAGAAGAAGUUAGUGUUCUGUGAGAUUAACAAGUUUUAAAACAAACAAAAGAAGUAGAUUGUGAUUGAAUAUCUCUUAUUGCAAACUGCGCAGACCACCAAGCUCAGUAAAAGCAUUGAGUAAGUGGAAAAACAAUGUUGUAUGAAAGGACAUGAAUGAAAACUAUCUGGGAAACAACCCAUAUUUUGGUGUCAGGAAAGCCUGAGUUCAAGUCAUGACUCAACCACUCACUGACCACAAACAAACUGUAAUUUUCAUAAAUUUUUCACUUAUUUUCCUUUAGGAGAUAAUAGAGAUUAUAACAUCAAUCUUUUGGAGUUUUUU